UUAAAGCUCGGUACUGGAGGUUC
rnacentral:miRNA from 1 species